rfam:Aedes albopictus isolate Foshan contig125993, whole genome shotgun sequence.
AUCUCGGUAGCUUAGUUAGAAAAGCACUUAUCUAGCGAAUAAGGGUCGUGAGUUCAAAUCUCACCUAAGCUG